GCAAGAAGGGGAGCGUCCAUUUACGAUUGAGCAGGCGCAAUGGUGGGAGCGGAUCCGAACUCCCUCUUCGGGCACUGCCCCGGACGAGUUGGGUGGAGAAGCCAGAGCACGCGGCGCCGGGGGCAGGGCAGCGCUCGCGGCAGUUCGGCGCCGGGUGCUUCGGGGGCAUCGAGCUCGCUUUCCGUCGGGCGGCCGACGUGACCCGAGUUACGAGGGCUUGUGAGCCGCGGGCGAAGAACCCCUGCGAGGUGGUCCGGGUGCAGUAUGAUCCCCGCAACUGCAAGUACCUAGGAGCUCUUUGAUGUUUUCCGUGCGCGCUAUAAUCCUAUUAUCCUCAAUCGCCAGGUUAUUCGUGCGUGAUCAUUGAGUCAAUUUUCUUAGGGUCCAAUAACCAUUGUACAAAAGGUAAGUGCGAGUUAUUAUCUAUUUGAUAUCAAAAUUUCCAUUUUUUUUCCUGGAUUAAGGUAAUUAGGAAUUUUAGAAUGCGUUUCAACUGCAAGAAAUAUGUUUUGGAACUUCGAUUUUAGGAUGUUUACUUAUUCCUAUUCUUCGCGUGCUGCAUCCACAAGAUCUAAUCUCAAUUUCUUAAUACGUUGCUUUCAAAGAUUAAAGAGCUUUUUGCAUCAUUUCAGUAGUUUUUAAGCUUUCCGACAGUUCAUACAGAGAUGUAUCUUACUUGUUCUAUUCGUUCUGGUGCUGUAUCUUUAAUGCUGAUCUCAUCUUCUACAUAUUACAUCAUUGAUAUGUGCUCAAGUCCAAUUGGCUUUUGGGUUAAUUAACUGAAAACAAAUUGACCCAAUGAUGAAUUAGGAACCACUUACUUGCAAAAGCUUAAGCUGAUAGGAAAGAGUCCAACUCAUAUGUGAGCUCUGACAUCCUUCCUCAUGUGCAAGCUAGAUGGACUUAUGGGCUGGAAACCUGGAUGCUAGUGCAAACCUAAUCUGCAAGCUAAGGCCAACGGGCUCUGACCCAUCUGUUGGUGAAUAUUGUAUCAAACAUUAAAGGAAAAAAUAAAACAGUUAGCAUUCGAACUCUCUGCUCCAAUACAAGGCAAGAAAAUGACUUUGGUAACCUUUUCCCAAAAAUUAAGUUGAUAGGAACAAGGCCAAUUUAUAUACAAGCAAUGACAAGAUUCAUGUCACUUUGUUGGUUUUUAAAUUUAAUCAACUAGCAAAUAUCUAAAUUUAAGCAUCUACAUAGAUAUAGAGAAUCAACAAUAGAACCUGAGAAGUAAAGAAGAGUAGUAGAGAGAAGAUGGAAAAGUUGAACCCUGUAUCCAGCCAGUAAACAUUCUUUACUACUGAAAGGACUCUGGGGAACUGCUUUCAGUGGUGAAACAUUGGAUUAUGAAUUUUUUAGUGUACUGUCCUAUUACCAUUGUGACUUUGAAAAGGAAACAAGGUCUGAUAAUUAGCUUCUUAUGACUUUUUUGAAAGAUAAUGGCUAAUCAAUUAUUUCUUUAGUGGUUCAACAGAAAUUAUUUGAUUUAAUUACUAGUAAUCUUUCUGAAUAUUUUUUAGGUAGAUAAUACCAGCAAAUAUUUUUCUUGAUUUACAUAAACUUGACCUUUUCCCUUGUGCUCUAGUUUGUGUUUCUCUAUGACUCCUAAAGAAACCACUAGAUUAAUGGAAAAUUUUGGUUAAAGCUUUGUAUACCAAUUUUAAAUUACUAUGAGGUAAACCUUGACCUAACCUAAUGGAAGUUUAGCCUGCAUCACACUCAAAGUGACACAAGGGCCAAAUUUGUAUUUCCUACCAGAGAAUUUUCUCAACCUUAUCGAGUAAAGCAGAGUAGGAAAACCUUUUGGCCUCUCCAUGGCCAGCCUUUCAGGAGAUUGGCAUGUAGCAUGUAGGUGUUUUGAGGAAGGGUUCUUUGUUAAGGAAGAUCGAGAUUUCUUACAAGCAAACGUCAUCGUUAUCUGUUUCUUUCUGAAGAGAAUCUUUGAAAUCACUGAGAUGAUAUAAGAUAGUGGUUUAGUAAUUCAAGACUGUAGUUUAUUAAGGAUGAUAUGUUGCUUACUUUGAUCAGUGAUACAGUUAAAUAAAUGUAACCAUAUAUUAUUAAGUUAGCUUCUGGUGAAUAAUAGAUAGCGGUAGUAGAGUAGGAGUUUAGGUUCAUGCCUGUGAAACAACUCAUGGAUUACAUUGCAAAUUCUGGCAGCCCAUAUUAAUAACUUUACUUUCAACACAUUGACAAUCUGACAUUUGAAUCUGCAUGCAGGAAAACAAAGUUGUUACGAUCUUGAAUACACUUCUACACGUGAGAACAGGGAAAAGCCCCUAUGUAAUAUUUAGAAAGUAACCAGAAGGUCAUGAACAGGAAUAUCAUGAAAGUAAGUCUUUCUGCAAGAAACAAAAUUUAGAAGUAUCAUCAGGAUUCAGGAGUAUGUUGAGAACAAUGGAUCCUUUGGUUAUAAACAGUCUGCAGCUAGAGGCUGCAAUGAACCUAUUGGCUGUGAUGGCUGAGAUGAACUACUAGUCCAUGAAAAUCUGCAAAAACUCGUGCUUUCCUGUCGAUAACCUGUACAAAGAUUUACAGUUCAGGGAUUCAAGUAUUUUCUUGACAAUCCUGACUGUGACAUAUGUAGCUUCUGAUAAUACACAUUCUGCCCCAUUGAUGCAAUACUUCUGGUUUUAUAUCUCUCCUUAUAGUAGGAGUUUGCAGCUCAGCUGCUCCAAAUUAGACAGAUGUCUCAUUACAUCUGAUAUUUUGGCUAUUAUAUAUCUCCUAGUACUUUAUUCUUCAUGUGUCAGGAGUCCCCCAAAUUGACAACGUAAUGGACCUUGGCAUAUAGCAAACUAUCAUGUUCUUGAUUCUCUUGUUUAACAUGUUAACAGGUACUUCUCAGGUGCUCCUGAGAUUUCCUCAAAGUUUAUGCUGUCAUGAAGACAUCAUUACGAGUAAGCAUGCCUUUGUUUACUGGUAACUUUUAACGCAUGGGCCUUGCUUUUCUUUCAGCAUCUUCAUGGCAUCUAGCUACCUAUUAGCCUUUCAUAUAUGUCAUCUUGUAAAAUAUAAUAACCAAAGAUUAUUCUUAGAUGAGCUAGCAUUGAAAUGAUAUUCUGGGUUCUGUUUGGCUAUGAUGGUGUAUUGUGCUAAAGCAUUUGACUUCAGACUAGCUAUAUGGAAUUGUGUUUGGAGAAAAUUCUGGUAGUUGCUCGGCAGUCAAAUUUAGCAAAUAAUGAAAAGAAAGAAAAUAAAUGGUUUGCAUGUCACAUGGUCUAAUAAUUUGAAGCUGAAUGGGACUCAGUAGAUUGCAACAUUGAAACCUAUGUAGUUAUGGUCUUGGGUCAAAUGAAUGACAUCUUUCUUUUAGUCUGCUGCUUAAGUUAUUUCACCAAUGGAGUUACAUCACUAUCAUGCUCACCAAAGCCUGUUUAAAUCUGGACCACUGCAACAACAAAUUGAAAUAUUUAUAGUAUUUGGGAUUGACUAGAUGAAUCUUCCAGCUAGUGAGUUCUACAUAGAUGAGUAUCUUACAGGCAAAUCAAAAGCUUUGAAGUUUCUUUUUCUUAUGUGUUCAUAGUUUGGAUUCAGACCUGCAUAAAAGCAUCAAAUUUGACAGUAUUCUCAGGAAGAACAAAUCGUGGAGGUCUUCCUACCCCACAAUCUCAUGCAUGCCAACCAAGAAAGUUGGUAGCCAAUGAUUACCCACCUACCAGUGAAUUCCAUGAUUGGCCUAAGGUGAAGCUUUGCUUUCAAUCUCUGCUGUUGGGUUAGCUUUUUGGCUGGGGAGCGUUAGUGUGGUCCAUAAAAGAGGAGUGAGCUCCCGCAGCCAGAGUGCAUGACGGGGACGGAUGUCGACGUCCUUCGCAACCAACCAGUGGCCACAGGCGCUCCGGCAGCCACGAACUGCCCCUCUCAUAACCGCUCUCGCAGGCGCUACGCCGCGUUGGGGGACGCUGCCUCUGGUGAGGGCAACUGCUGGCCAAGCAGCGAAGGCCCGCGCGGGGCCUGCUGCCAGCCGGGCGAGGAUGGUUCUGUGUUGCUGCCAACGGUUGCUCUCCGUGGCGUCGUUAAUGGGGAUGGAACAGAGGGGAAGAAGAAUAAGAAUAAGCAGGUGGAAGGAAGACGAGUGAGGACGAGAAAAAAAAAUGUGAGAAGGUGAGAAAGGAAAAUGGAUCCAUUAAUCGGUAUCGGUCAUUUGGAUAAUUAUAUAAAAUAUAGGCUAUUUAUCGAAAAAAUAAGUACGUUUCGUGUUUUUUAGGUUAUUUAAAUAUCAAAAGAUACCCUCGACAUUAAUUUUUCA